UCAGCUCUAUCGCUUCACAUUCACAGUCUGCUGUAAUUCUCUGAGUAGCUUCAGGUGAUUUUAAGAUACUAAGCAAUUUUUGUAUUUUUUAAAGGACAUUUAUUGAAAAUAAUUUCCCAAAAAUGUAUUGAUUAAUCCAAAAUGCAACAUCUGAGAAAGCCAUGUAGAUAUUUAAAAUGUGAAUGACCCGGGUCUCUCUGAAUCUCCAGACUCUCCAAAGCUUCCCUCUGUGUCAGUGAGUCCCUCUGCUGAGAUAGAGGAGGGCCGUUCAGUGACUCUGACCUGUAGCAGUGAUGCUAACCCAGCAGCUAACUACACCUGGUACAAGGAGGAUGAAGACUCUCCAAAAGCUUCAGGACAGAUCUUCAACAUCACUGACUUCAGAGCUGAACACAGUGGGAGUUAUUCCUGUGGAGCCCAGAACAAGUUAGGACGUAGUAACUCCACCUGAACUCUGAUUGUUGUGGCAUGGAAUUCAACAAUGAUAGUGAAUAUCAUCAGGACUAUCAACGACUCUGGGGGUCUUGAUUCUGAUUCCUGUGUUUCUCCUGACUCUGUGGACGAGGAAGAAGAAAGCUCUGCGCUCCACCACUGAAGCACAUGAACCUGAAGAGAUAGAGUUGGACUCUGAUCCUGAGUAUGAGAACGACUCACACACUGCAGCACAGACAGAAGACACAGAGGAGCAGGAAGACAUGGUGUGAAGUCCAGUCAGGUUAGAGCCUCCUGCAUCAGAUCAAACAGGCCCACUCCACAUGUAGUCACAGUUCCAGCUGUAACUUCACACAAAGUCUCUGUGAUUUUCUUCAGAUGCUCACCUGAUGGAAACAAAGAAGAAGGACGUUGAAAUGUCCCUGUGGAGAGCGAGGCUGUGCAGGAUGUGUGCAAAGUGGAUAUAUUCACGUUCAAAUCCCAACAUUUGUUUAUGUCAUUUAAUAGCAGCAUCAGCAGGUCGGAGUCAGCAGCUUGUAGGUUUAGAAGAAUGUGAAGUGAAUCAUGUCGAGGUGUCAAACAUGAUGUAUUAAGAUCAGCUGAUGGUCAUGUGCUCCAACGUGCUGAUUUAAUUAUACAUGAUUAUACAGUAUGUUAUGUACAUUUGUUGAUAUUACAAAAGUCUAGGACAAAUCUUACAAAAAUUGUUUCUUUUAAAUUCAACAUAAUAAAUCGUUUUUAAAUAUCCUGA